UUCGGUAGGUGAACCUGCGGAAGGAUCAUUACACUCAGUAGUUUACUACUGUAAAGGGGGCUGUUAGUCUGUAUAGCGCAAGCUGAUGAGCAGCUGGCCUCUUUUAUCACCCUUGUCUUUUGCGUACCCACGUUUCCUCGGUAGGCUUGCCUGCCGAUUGGACAAACCUAUAACCUUUUCAAUUUCAAUCAGCGUCUGAAAAACGUAAUAAUUACAACUUUCAACAACGGAUCUCUUGGUUCUGGCAUCGAUGAAGAACGCAGCGAAAUGCGAUAAGUAGUGUGAAUUGCAGAAUUCAGUGAAUCAUCGAAUCUUUGAACGCACAUUGCGCCCCUUGGUAUUCCAUGGGGCAUGCCUGUUCGAGCGUCAUUUGUACCCUCAAGCUCUGCUUGGUGUUGGGUGUCUGUCCUCUCCCUCGCGUUUGGACUCGCCUUAAAGUAAUUGGCAGCCAGUGUUUUGGUAAUGAAGCGCAGCACAAGUCGCGAUUCUUAUUAAACACUUGCACCCACAAGCCUUUUUAACGCUUGACCUCGGAUCAGGUAGGGAUACCCGCUGAAC
rnacentral:rRNA from 1 species